CUCGGUGUGUAGUGCACGUAUGUAGGGCGUAUAGAGUGAUUUGGGAUACAGCCGUAGCCCUGUUCAAGUUUAUCUACAAGGGACGCACACGUUCACACUUCCUGCUGAGCCAAAACAAGCCAAGGACAUGGCGACUAAAUCUGCUGUCCGGCUGAGGAGGGAGGAGCUCACAUCGCGCGUGCAUUGUCUGUUGCUAUGGCAUCUACGUAGUGAAACGCGCGAGGAGAACCAUGAUCCAGCUUGCUUGGGCAUAAACUCUUCAGUCCUCACCAGUAUGCAUCAUAUCCCUGACUUCCAGCUGUAACACCCAGCAAGGGCAGACUGUUAAACUGGGCUCAAGAGAGCCAUUUCAGCAAGUAAAGAGGAAAAGCAGAGAUAGCGCAAGAGUGAGAACAUAUCAGUGGGCCAGACUUCACAGGAACAGAAGUGAAGAAAGACUGAAAUAACACUUGGAGGCUUGCCAUUAAAUGUCAUCUGCCUAUCUGAAUAAGUGAAAAAUCUGAGGUGUAAAAUAAUGCCAAUGAAAACACUUUUUUUUUUAUCUGGUAUUAACAAUAUAUGCAUACAGACCACGUGUGACAGCAUACAGGUAGUUGGUUAUUUUGUCAUUUUUACAUAUUGUACAUUUCAUGUUUAUUUUUAUAAAAUAUAUGCAACAACAUAUGAGUUACUAGUACUGCAAAAUUAACUCCAGGUUGUUGUUUUUUUCAGUGGAAUUGAUUAAGUUUUCUUUAAUGAUACUAUUAUUCCCUUCUCUUUAACAUUUCAGUUACAGUUUUCCUGUUCACUGUAUAGCGAUCAUAAUAGGGAGCACAAUUAUAUUUCUAAAUACUUCAUUCACUGAAAUAAAUAUAAAUAUAAAUAUAACUGAAAAGACUUUGAACACAAUGUAUAAACAUUUUUUGUUGAUCAUCAAGGAAUGGGUUCAGGUUAUGACCUCGUAGAUCUCUCUAAUUAGGUACUUGAAGCAGACAAAGUACAUGUAUAUUUGUCUUGGUAGUGGAUACACUGUCUAGUCCCAGAGUCUGUGGUUCGAUUCUGCGCUAAGGUUACUGUCUAUGUGGAGUUUCCCAUGUUCUCCCCACGUCUGUGUAGGUAUCAUUUUAGGUUCUCUGGUUUUCUCCCACCUCCCAUACACAUGCAUGUGUAGAACAUCCCUCCAACAGCAGUGUGUCUCUAGCUGAGGAUUUCCAGUAGAACCUCUUUAACAAAGAACCCUUAGAGGAACCUUUUUCUGGCAUUCUAGUCCAACAUUCCAC